rnacentral:rRNA from 1 species
AUUGAACGCUGGCGGCAGGCUUAACACAUGCAAGUCGAGCGGAGAUGAGGUGCUUGCACCUUAUCUUAGCGGCGGACGGGUGAGUAAUGCUUAGGAAUCUGCCUAUUAGUGGGGGACAACAUUCCGAAAGGAAUGCUAAUACCGCAUACGUCCUACGGGAGAAAGCAGGGGAUCUUCGGACCUUGCGCUAAUGGAUGAGCCUAAGUCGGAUUAGCUAGCUGGUGGGGUAAAGGCCUACCAAGGCGACGAGCUGUAGCGGGUCUGAGAGGAUGAUCCGCCACACUGGGACUGAGACACGGCCCAGACUCCUACGGGAGGCAGCAGUGGGGAAUAUUGGACAAUGGGGGGAACCCUGAUCCAGCCAUGCCGCGUGUGUGAAGAAGGCCUUAUGGUUGUAAAGCACUUUAAGCGAGGAGGAGGCUACUGAGACUAAUACUCUUGGAUAGUGGACGUUACUCGCAGAAUAAGCACCGGCUAACUCUGUGCCAGCCGCCGCCGUAAAAC